GCGGGCGUGGCGGAAUUGGUAGACGCAAGGGACUUAAAAUCCCUCGGCCGUAUGGUCAUGCCGGUUCGAGUCCGGCCGCCCGCA
rnacentral:tRNA from 1 species